CCUAAGACAAGGUAACCUGGCUCUGAGACCAACCCCACAGAGAAUUAUGUGGAUGCUGACAACACUGUAGGAAGUUACAAGGAGCAAAAGAAUAGCAGCCUCAGCCCUGAAUUCCACUGUAAGCUUCCCUCUAAUCUUCCCUGCCUCACUCUCAAUCAAAUAAAGAGCUGAUCAGGAAGCAACUAUGCACGGUCUCCACAGUCUCUUAUCUUAACCCAGACUCUCCUUUCUAUUGAUAGCAGGUCUGUAGAUAAUAAUUCUUUCAACCAAUUGACAAUCAGAAAAUCUUUGAAUCUAUCUAUGACCUGUAAGCCCCAUUACUUUGAAUUUUCCUCCUUCCAGACCAAACCAAUGCAGACCAAACCAAUGCAGAACUCCUAUGUGCUGAUGGUGGUCUUACGUUUCCCUAAGUUUCUGCCGACUAAACUGUGCACACGUUCUCAGGACCUCCUGAAGCUGCGUCACAGGCACUAAUCAAAGAACACAACCAAGAGUUUGGCCUUUUCUUCAGCACUGGGAAUUGUGAUCCAAAGCUUUCCCGGAUGAAGCACAAAGUUGGAGAAACAAAACGCAAACUAAACAACAACAAUGAAACAGAACAGAGUUAAUCUGCUGUAGCUCAAGAGAGGACGUACCUGCCCCCACCCCGCAUCCCUGGGCUCGGGUUUGCCUUGCUGAUCUCUGCUGCCACCUGGUGCCACACAGAGAAACUGAGGAGAAACCACAUCAGUCUCCUUCAGCCUCAGCUUCACAUCUGUGGGUCAAGUAACCCUUUCAGAAGCUGUAUAAUGUGGGAAAGCUUUCCUCUCAGGAAAAUGCACACAUCCAACUUUGAGAAGAUGCCCUUGGGGGCGCUUCAAGGAUCCUAGAUAAAGAACCCCCUUUCCCGAACAUCCAAGAACCUAAGUUUUUUUUUUUUUUUUUUUGAGAAAGUCUCGCUCUCUCUCCCAGUCUGGAGUGCAGUGGCGUGAUCUUGGCUCCCUGCAAGCUCCACCUCCCAGGUUCACGCCAUUCUCCUGCCUCAGCCUCCCGAGUAGCUGGGGCUACAGGCACCUGCCACCACACCCGGCUAAUUUUUUUGUAUUUUUAGUAGAGACGGUGUUUCACCGUGUUAGCCAGGAUCUUCUUGAUCUCCUGACCUUGUGAUCCACCCGCCUCGGCCUCCCAAAGUGCUGGGAUUACAGGUGUGAGCCACCGCACCUGGUCCAAGAACCCAAGUUUUAGAUCUAGAGUGAUGUCAGCAUGACAUUGAUUUCCUGAGGCCCAGGGGUGAAGGAGCUGAGGACAGCAGAGGGGUGAAGGAACUCAGCUACAGACAGCAGCAGCUGAUGCACAGGCCUCCCAGCGCCUGAAGUCACCCGGAAUUGGGAAGUGCUCAGAAGCUUACAAAGCUGCCUCGAGAUGGAAUUUUACUGUGUCAAGAAGCAUUGAAUGCUGAGCGGGAGCUAUGUCAUCCAGAUACAGAUCUCUGCAGAUUUGAUGCUACAGAUGAAGAGUUGAGAUUGUGUCAGGCCUGUGGGUUUGAAUUUGACAUGUGUGAGUGGACGUCAGAAGCAUCUGCUGGCCAAAUUUCCUGGAUGCGCACAAAAGCGACAGAGAUCCCUGCAUUCGAAUCCACACCUCAGCAGGAUCAAGGCGGUGAUGAUGAAGGUAGAAAAAAAUAAUAUCUUUUAUGUAUUACUUUCAGAAUUCUGCUUUAUGGUGACUAGUUAUAAGACAUUACAUAGGAGGCCUUGGUGAAUAUACUGAGUAUAUUUUAUUGAAAAUACAUUCUGCCAUAGGAGCUGAAGGUGAAAAUAACAAUUAUGUUUCCAACAGUGUAAAACAAGAAUUAUACUAGGUUAACAAUAUUUUUUAAGUUUUAUUAUUUCCUUCAGGAUUUAUUAUCGUGUGAACAAAAAGUAUUAAAAGGCUUUUUUUUUUUUUUUUGAGACAGAGUCUCACUCUGUCACCCAGGCUGGAAUGCAGUGGUGAGAUCUCGGCUCACUGCAACCCCCGCCUCCUGGGUUCAAGUGAUUCUCCUGUCUCAGCCUCCCAAGUAGCUGUGACUACAGGCACGUGCUACC